rnacentral:rRNA from 1 species
GGCGACCGGCGCACGGGUGCGUAACACGUAUACAAUCUGCCUUUAACAGGGGGAUAGCCUUUCGAAAGAGAGAUUAAUACCCCAUAACAAUGGAAGAAGCAUUUCUUCUAUUUGAAAGCUCCGGCGGUUAGAGAUGAGUAUGCGUCUGAUUAGCUAGUUGGUGAGGUAACGGCUCACCAAGGCGACGAUCAGUAGGGGAUCUGAGAGGACUACCCCCCACACGGAUACUGAGACACGGAUCCGACUCCUACGGGAGGCAGCAGUAAGGAAUAUUGGACAAUGCCCGCAAGGGUGAUCCAGCCAUGCCGCGUGCAGGAAGAAGGCCCUAUGGGUCGUAAACUGCUUUUACACCAGAGAAAACCCCUGUACGUGUACGGGGCUGAUAGUACGGUGAGAAUAAGCAUCGGCUAACUUCGUGCCAGCAGCCGCG